CCUGGAGCCGGGGACAAGGGAGACGCGGGAUCAGAAGAUCGAGACCUGGAGACAGCUCCUGGCCCAGCCUGGGGAGGCUCCCGCCUCCCUAGCGGGGUGACCCUGGGCAAGGCCCUUCACCCCCAUUGCCCAGCCCUUACCGCUCUUCUGAUUCCAAGACUGAAGAUGAGGAAACUAGUGGGGAAUGACUUGCCAAGGUCAGGCAGAAAGUGAGCCAAGGCAUCCAAAUAAAGAAUCUGAGCUUUGAAGAGGAUAAGAGACUUGCUCAAGCUCCCACAGCUAAUAAACAUCAAAGAGAACGUCUGAACCCAGGUCUUUGGGACUCCAAGUCCUGUCCAAGUCCAGAAUCGUGGAAGAGUAAAGAAUUGAAGGAUCGCUGGAGGAUCCAGCAAAGGAGGCAAAGAAAGAGCAGUUGGAGAGCUUGCUCGGUCUAUGGUCCAACCUGAUGGAAUCUCAGAAUUUCAGACUUGGAAGGGACUUCAGUGAUCAUCCAGCCCAACACCACCUAUCUGAGAAACGACGCCCACCCACCCCGUUCCUGAGGCUUGAACACCCAGUCUUUACUGGAGGCUGCCGAAGGCCAGGGAUCCCCAAACGCAAAGGUGGAAAUGUGGAACUAGCAAAGGAGGAGAGGAUGGAAGGAGUGAGGGGGAAGGAGCUGAUCUUCAAUGGAAGGCCACCAGGCGGCCUCUUGAGAUCCCUGCCUGGGCUCUUGACAUGGAGCCCCCCAAACCCCCAGGUCUCCGCUCUGGUCACAGAGCAGCCCUCUCCGGGCGGCUGCUGGAGGAAAAGCUUGGCCUGGAGCGUUGGGCCAAGCCUGGUGUCUGUGGGAGCCGGGCUGAGGGGCCAGAGAGGGAACCUCCCAUUGGAAAGACCCGAAGCCGAGCUGUGCCGACGUGGACACAUCUGGGAUUCUGGUAAACACGGGGUGAUGUCAGCACGAGACUGGGACUUAAGAGAGACAGCAGGGCUCCAGGAGGAGGGAUGGAAGGGGGGGAGUGAGGAGAGGCAGGCAGGGAGGAGGCCCGGGAAAUGGAGGGACAGCUAGCUACCCAGCCCUCGUGAAGGAAUAAAAAUUAUUCUGAGUGGCAAACAGAAGUCCUAGAGUCUUGGGGGUUGUGGGGAGAGGGGGAGGAGAGAGGCGUGCACCCCGAGGUGUGGCUUCUGUUGGAAAGGAACCCCCUAAUCUGAGAUGAAAAAGUGGCUCAAAUCUUGGGGCGCCCCAGUGUGAAAAGGGAAAGUCUCUGUCCCAGAAUCCUAAAACCUCAACCCUGGGAAGGACCUCAGGGGCCAUCCAAGGCACCCACAACCCAACUUUGAACAAGAACCCCUCUACAACCUUUGUUCAGAAAUCUUCAAUGAGGGGGAACCUUCUGUUUCCUCACUUGGUUGUCCUUUUCCAUUUUGAACCCUGCCAGAAAAUUCUAACAUUAAAGGGAACUGUGCCCCCUCUGCACUUUGCACCCAUAACUCCUAGUUUUUUCCUCUGGGGCCCAAUCAAAUGUCAAACUCUUCUAAAUGAGGGCCUUCCCAUUGUGCUCUCAGUCAUCUCUUUUCCAGGCUAAACAUUCCCAGUGCCCUCAAUGGACCUUUCCAUGGAUCUGGGGGUCUCGAGGUGCCUCACUCGCCAUCUUGGCUAUCAUCUCCUGUCCUCAACACAGUGAAGGAACAAAAGGGGCUGAAGGUAUAGGAGUGAGGCAGAAGGAGAAAUGGAAGGUUAGGGGAAUGUGAGAAUUGAGGAAAAGACUUUUGGAUGAUAACAAAGACUCUUUUAAUCACCUCUGUGAGGAGUAGAGAUAGUGGAUGUCAUAGGAAUUUUAAAGAAGGUUGAAGAACUGGGAAACUAGAGAUCUCUGGGGGUCCACGGGGCUUCUUCUUUUUUUUAAUCCUUACUUUCUGUCUUCGUAACAACUCUAAGACAGAAGGACAAGGGUUAGGCAAAUCAGGUUAAGUGACUUGUCCAGGGUCACACAGCUAGGGAGUGUCUGAGACCAGAUUUGAAGUCAAGACUUCGCCUCUCUAGGCCUGGCUCUCAAUCUACUGAGCCACUAGCUCCACUUGUUUUUGUUUUUGUUUCUAAUUGAAAUUUUUUUUAUUUAAUUAAUUAAUUUAGAAUCUUUUCCCAUGGUUACAAGAUUCUUGUUCUUCCUCCCCCUCCACCCAGCCAAUGAGCAAUUCCAUUGGGUUUUUGUGUCACUGAUCAAGACCUAUUUCCCUAUUAUUGAUAUUUGCACCAGGGUGAUUGAUUAGAGUCUCCAUCCCCAGUCAUAGCUCCCACGAAUCAUGUGAUCGAACUGUUGGCUCCACUUGCUUUUAACAGACUAUCUUGUAACUUACCUGACAUUCUUUUUCCUCCUCCAGGACCUUCAGUCCUAAUUAGAUAGUAGCUCAUGGUCCUUUCUCACAGCUGAUCAAGCCAAUUCAUCUUGGUUCUGCCCCAGUCCCUGAGACCUAAUUAGGGGGUGCCACUAAGUGCCAAUGAGAAUUUUGCUGUCCAUGGGGAGGUACCCACUGAAUAUUCCAAACAAAACCUCACUCUCUUUGUAUUCCCUAAUAUUGGUGACACAGUACGCAAGAGUGCUAGACUCAGGAAGACCUGAGAUUAAAUCCAGCUUCAGACAGUUACCAGCCAGGUGAUUAUAGGCAAGUGACCUAACCUUUCUGUGCCUCAGUUUCCUCUGUCUAUGAAAUGGCAUAAUAAUAGCCCCUAUCUUCCAGGAUUAUUGUGACAGUCAAAUGAGAUAUGUGCAAAAUGCUUUGCAAACUUUAGAGCACUGAGGGCAGCUGGGUGGCUCAGUGGAUAGAGAACCAGGCCUGGAGAUGGGAGGUCCCGGAUUUUGCAAUUGACACUUCCCAGCUGUGUGACCCUGGACAAGUCACUUACUCCCCAUGGCCUAGCCCUUACCAUUCUUCUGCAUUAGAACCAAUACACAGUACUGAUUCUAAGGUGGAAGGUAAGGGUUUAAUAAACAAUAAAUAAAUAUGAAAAAAAGACUGUAUAAUAAAACUGCAUCAGGGCAGCGACAGGAUGCAGUAGACAGUGUCCACCUUGUCAGGAGGAUCCAAGUUCCAAUCUAGUCUUAGACACAGUGUGGCCCCAGGCAAGUCUCUUAAGGCCAGAUUGUCUAGUCCUUGUUGCUCUUCUGUAUUAGAAUUGCUACAAAGACAGAAUGUAAGGGUUUGUUUGUUUGUUU